rnacentral:rRNA from 1 species
GAGUAACGCGUGAGUAACCUGCCUUCAAGAGGGGGAUAACAUUCUGAAAAGAAUGCUAAUACCGCAUGACAUAUCGGAAUCACAUGGUUCUGAUAUCGAAGAUUUUAUCGCUUGAAGAUGGACUCGCGUCCGAUUAGUUAGUUGGUGAGGUAACGGCUCACCAAGACCGCGAUCGGUAGCCGGACUGAGAGGUUGAACGGCCACAUUGGGACUGAGACACGGCCCAGACUCCUACGGGAGGCAGCAUG